UGGGGAAUAUUGGACAAUGGACCAAGAGUCUGAUCCAGCAAUUCUGUGUGCACGAUGACGUUUUUCGGAAUGUAAAGUGCUUUCAGUUGGGAAGAAAAAAAUGACGGUACCAACAGAAGAAGUGACGGCUAAAUACGUGCCAGCAGCCGCGGUAAUACGUAUGUCACGAGCGUUAUCCGGAUUUAUUGGGCGUAAAGCUCGUCUAGGUGGUUAUGUAAGUCUGAUGUGAAAAUGCAGGGCUCAACUCUGUAUUGCGUUGGAAACUGUGUAACUAGAGUACUGGAGAGGUAAGCGGAACUACAAGUGUAGAGGUGAAAUUCGUAGAUAUUUGUAGGAAUGCCGAUGGGGAAGCCAGCUUACUGGACAGAUACUGACGCUGAAGCGCGAAAGCGUGGGUAGCAAACAGGAUUAGAUACCCUGGUAGUCCACGCCGUAAACGAUGAUUACUAGGUGUUGGGGGUCGAACCUCAGCGCCCAAGCAAACGCGAUAAGUAAUCCGCCUGGGGAGUACGUACGCAAGUAUG
rnacentral:rRNA from 1 species